rnacentral:sRNA from 1 species
AGCAGGUGAAACUGGCGCUCGCCAUCUUUGUGGUAAGGAGGCUGGGUGUGGGGACGGGGUCGGGGGAGUCUGGGCGGCCCUAGGCUGAUCCUGCUUCUCUGACAGAUCUGCCAGCUCGGCAACUUCUCCAUCCACAUGGCCCUGCGGGACCUGCGGCCCGCUGGUGAGUGCCUGCUGGGGGCAGGGGGACAGCUGGGCUGGGUGAGGGGGUCUGACUUUCUCCUUCUGUCCUGCCUGCCAGGGUCCAAGACCCGGAAGAUCCCAUACCCCACCAAGAACCCCUUCACGUGGCUCUUCCUGCUGGUGUCCUGCCCCAACUAUACCUACGAGGUGGGGUCCUGGAUCGGUUUCGCCAUCAUGACGCAGUGUCUCCCAGGUGAGCCUGCCGCCCUCCCUUGGCAGGGCCCUGCCCCUCCGGGCCGGCAGCCCCUUCCUGACGCCCGUUCUUUCCUGCAGUGGCCCUGUUCUCCCUGGUGGGCUUCACCCAGAUGACCAUCUGGGCCAAGGGCAAGCACCGCAGCUACCUGAAGGAGUUCCGGGACUACCCGCCCCUGCGCAUGCCCAUCAUCCCCUUCCUGCUCUGAGCGCUCACCCCUGCUGGGGCUCAGCCCCUCACCCCGGUGGUAUUCUGGGGGAGGAGUGGGGCCCACAGCUCUCCAGCACCCGGAAUAAAG